UCUUCGGACUGGCGGCGAGCGGCGGACGGCUGAGUAACACGUAGGAACGUACCCCAAACUGAGGGAUAAGCACCAGAAAUGGUGUCUAAUACCGCAUGUGCUCUUCGGAGUAAAGCUUCGGCGGUUUGGGAACGGCCUGCGCAUGAUUAGCUUGUUGGUGAGGUAAUGGCUCACCAAGGCGAUGAUCAUUAGCUGGUCUGAGAGGAUGAUCAGCCAGACUGGGACUGAGAACGGCCCAGACUCCUACGGGAGGCAGCAGUAGGGAAUUUUCCACAAUGGGCGAAAGCCUGAUGGAGCAACGCCGCGUGCAGGAUGAAGGCCCUUGGGUCGUAAACUGCUUUUAUCUGUGACGAAUAUGACGGUAGCAGAUGAAUAAGGAUCGGCUAACUCCGUGCCAGCAGCCGCGGUCAUACGGAGGAUCCGAGCGUUAUCCGGAAUUACUGGGCGUAAAGAGUUGCGUAGGUGGCAUGUAAAGCAGAUAGUGAAAUUGUGUGGCUCAACCAUACACCCAUUAUCUGAACUCACAAGCUAGAGGACGAGAGAGGUAGAUGGAAUUCCCUGUGUAGGAGUGAAAUCCGUAGAUAUAGGGAGGAACACCGAUGGCGUAAGCAGUCUACUGGCUCGUUCCUGACACUCAGGCACGAAAGCGUGGGGAGCAAACGGGAUUAGAUACCCCGGUAGUCCACGCCGUAAACUAUGGAUGCUAGCCGUUUUCGGUAUCGACCCCGAAUGUGGCGAAGCUAACGCGUUAAGCAUCCCGCCUGUGGAGUACGGUCGCAAGACUAAAACAUAAAGGAAUUGAC
rnacentral:rRNA from 1 species